rnacentral:rRNA from 2 species
AAACUUUCAACAACGGAUCUCUUGGUUCUGGCAUCGAUGAAGAACGCAGCGAAAUGCGAUACGUAAUGUGAAUUGCAGAAUUCAGUGAAUCAUCGAAUCUUUGAACGCACAUUGCGCCCGCCAGUAUUCUGGCGGGCAUGCCUGUUCGAGCGUCAUU